rnacentral:rRNA from 1 species
UACGUAGGGUGCGAGCGUUAAUCGGAAUUACUGGGCGUAAAGCGGGCGCGGACGGUUACUUAAGCAGGAUGUGAAAUCCCCGGGCUCAACCUGGGAACUGCGUUCUGAACUGGGUGACUAGAGUGUGUUAGAGGGAGGUAGAAUUCCACGUGUAGCAGUGAAAUGCGUAGAGAUGUGGAGGAAUACCGAUGGCGAAGGCAGCCUCCUGGGAUAACACUGACGUUCAUGCCCGAAAGCGUGGGUAGCAAACAGGAUUAGAUACCCUUGUAGU